UUCCCUUCUAGACAUAGCAACAAACAAAAAACAAAUCACGCACAAGCGAACACACAAUCAAAAUACAUGGUUCUUCAAAUUCAGGUACGUCCACGGGAGAUAUAUCUUCCACUAUAUGAAAAAUAAGAGAUUACAAUAUGAGAUAAGAAAAACCCUCUCGAGCUCCUAACCCGGCUCAUACAUUACUUUUCACUCACCCCCAACAUCUCUAUUUUUCUCUCACAUCUACUCUCUCUCUCACUCACAACUCACGGUGGGGGAGGCCCCAAAGGGGCUCCCGGACUUCUCUCUUCUCUCUCAGUCCCUCUCUGUUUUUCCCCACACCCUCUUCACACACGGCACAAACUGCCCCUUUUAUAUUUGUCCAAAAGCUUCUGACCAUAAUUAAUGCUCCUUGCAACAUACACCAAUGCCAGCACACACCACACACUUUUCUCUUUCUUUUUCUUUUUCUUUUUUUCCGGUUUAUUUUCCUUUUUUCACAUUGGGGCAAAACCCAUCAAUUAAAGGAUUUUUCUUGUUAUAUAGCUUGAAAGAACUGUAUUGUUCCUCUAUAAACCUCCAUUAGUUCUGAUUUACAUAUUUUUCAUAGCUCACGAUCUAUUUGCUGACAACAUUAGAAAUGUUGGAGGUGAAAAUGUAGCUUUUACAUGUUGGUUUACUCCAAAGUGAGGUGAAUAAAUUCUGAAAGGGAGAACAACCGGGAGCCAACCAAAGGCUGUCGGCUGAUGAUCAGAUGGGUGCUCACAAUGGUCGAGACUACAGAAAAGCAGAGCAAUGCAAAGAGAUACCCGGUCUGAAUAUGAGUGUUUUCAUUGAAAACAGCCAGAAUUUCAUUAGUCUCAAUUAGAUACAAAAUAGAUUAAGGGGAAAAUGGGCUAAAAGGAGAAGGGAAACGCAUUGAAUGAAGAAUGCCCUCGCCCAAGCUCCCAAAAGCCACAACUACCCAGGCCAAAAGCCCCAGACACACGAAAAACUGUGGAAGGGCCCUUGGCUUGGGGACCCUCUAAUGCCCAAAAUCUUAACCCCUGACCCACAGAUAGAGAAUUGCAGGAAGGUGAGUGAUUUAAUUGAUGAAGACCGGCAUCAGUGGAAGGAGAUAUUGAUAAAGGAGGUUUUCAAUCAGAGGGAUGUCGAGCAGAUUCUUAGUCUACCAUUGAGUAAUACAGGUCAGGUGGACAGACGGAUUUGGGGGAGAAGUUCAAUGAGCGUAUGUGGUCACUAAGGAAUUACGAAGUAGGCAGAGAGGACAGAUUGGGGACAGGGGGCAAACGAGUGGGAGUAGUCUGGAUGAAACAAAAUGGAAGCGGAUAUGGCACAUCAAAGCACCAAUGAAGAUUGAAUUCUUUCUUUGGCGUAGUCUGCAGAAUAUUUUACCGGUGGAUAGUGCGCACUGGAACAAAGGCAAAUUCCAAUGGAGGGUAUAUGUCAAGUAUGUGGAUUGGAACAGGAGACAACUUCUCAUGCACUCCUGCAAUGUGAUCGAGCCGUAAGAGUUUGGUUGCUAACCCCUUUUCGGUUCCAGCCUGAAGUACCAGUGGACCAGCAGUUUGGAGAGAUUUGGCAUAGGAUGGGCCCCACAACUUCUGGGAAAAUAGACUGGGAUCAACUAGGCUUGUUUGCGAUAAUUUGCUGGAACAUUCGGAGAGCCAGAGACGAAUGGAUAUUCAAUAAGAAAUGGGUGGCAGAGACAGUGAUACUGGAUAAGGCUUUAUGUGAAUUCAAUGAGUUUUGCGAAGCAUUAGAAGAGAAGGUUUUAAGGGGUUUACAAAGGCGGGACCAGGGGACUGUGAAUUCAUGGGAACCGGCUCCACCCUUAGUUUCACUGAAGAUUAACGUGGAUGGCGCUUUUGAUCAGGCGAGGAAAAAAGGAGGGCUGGGGUUCGUAAUUCGAGAUGACUGGGGUCGGGUCUAAUUUCUUCCUUAUCCUCAUAUAGCUAUUCGUGGUUGAUCAUAUCCAACACUACUCUCUCCUCUCGGUUGCUUUCCAAGUUGCAAAAUGAUAAAAAUGCUAUUUUCAAAUUUGAAACAGCUGUACUUAACAAUCGUAAUCCUAUUAAUAAAAUCAAUUAAUCCCCACCUCUAAAUAUUUAGCAUUCUACUUCUAUAAAUUGUGCAUCCAGAUUCUAGUUCUCUACAUUGAUCUCAAUCUUUUUCUCUCUACCAAACUUAUAAGGCUCGAGGAAGGAGAUUAAAUAGUUCUUCCAUACAAGAAAUGGCUGGGAAAAGGGGAGCAAUAAUGGUCGCGAUGUUGUGCAUGAUAGUGGUGCUGGUGCAAGCUGCGCAAGACAUCAACGGCAACGAAAAGGUGAAUUGCAUGCCGGAGUGCUACCUUCAGUGCAUGCAAAUGAGGGUUUUUACCUGGAGCGAAUGCAAGCAUGUUUGCAUUCACACUUGCACGAAGCUUGUCUGUGAUGCCUUGAUGAAAUUGAAACGUGGUGUUCGAAUGGAGAGAACAGAGAAGGCGGUUGAAUAUGGAUUGUCAUUGACUCUUUUUCGGUAGAAUCCAGGAGAUCGAAGAAGAGACUUGAACGGUUCGCAUGCGUUGCUUAGAGCCGGUUCAGUUAUAAUACCUUAUUCGCUUGUUUCUUAUUUUAAUUGGUUGCCGAAAAAGUUAAUGUAUUUUUUCUUUUUGGUUGUCGCUUGUGAAAGGUCCCUUGCUCUUGUUAUUUGAUUGUACGAUGAAUUCAUAAAUGUUAACCAAAGUUUAUUUUCAUUUAA